GACUUGCAAAGAUGGCGGUGAUCGGUGGCGCGCGGCCUCUUAGCGGAGCGGUUGUCCCGCUCCUCCGUAGCAAGAUGUGAAUGCGGCUGAAGGACGGUGCCACGGGAAUGAGUCGGCGAAGGAAGCAUGCGGACAGCCCUGUGCGGACGCGCAGGGCGGGUGCCGAGAACUGCUGCUCGGCAGCGGAACUGUGGCCCCGGGCGUCCAGGGCGGCCCGCAGCUCCCAGCCCAGCCGGGCGGGAACGCGGUCUGCGCUGCGGUCGCAACGGCGGGCAGCGGCUGACGGCGGGCGGAGCCCGGGGGAAAAGGAGACACCAACACAAGUUCUGAAAGUGAAUUUAUUGUCCUGUACCUUCAGUUCUCGAAAUGAUCCAGAUGGACAGACUGAUAUCUUCUGGGAUCAAAAUUCUCCAAUGACAAAACAGUAAAAGAAGAACAAAGCAGAUUUCCAGUGCAUACAGUGAUGAGAUUUCACAUAUUGUUAAUCGUAUUGCUCCUCAGGAUGAAAAACCAGUGACAAACUCCAUGCUGGGUGUAUGGAUUGGUGACACUGCUAUUCCUUGUACUCCUAGUGUUGCAAAAGAAAAGUCAAGAGUGAAAAUCAGCUGCACAAAGUUAAAAACAAAAAAUCGAGAAAAAGAACUUAUGAAAUUGGCCCAACAGUUUGAUAAAAAUAUGGAAGAACUUGAUGUGAUUCAAGAGCAAGAUGGGAAGAAUCAUGAUUUUAUCCAGAUGACUUCAGAAAUGGGACAUUUACAUAACCAUAAAAAUUCUGUGCAGAUGGCAUCAGAUGAUAUAGUUCCUGAAGUCAGUUAUACUCCAAUAAAGAAGCAAGUGGAGGGAGACAGCAGAAUAUCUCAGGGAAAGGGGCAAGACAGCAGUCAGAGACCCUUUGACCGAAAUGUUGAAGCAGCCUUUAAUGCUAUUUUUGAUGGUUCCACUCAGAUGUCUAGUGGACAGCUAAGCCAGGAGCUGUCAGAUACUUUUUUGAACAAUAGUAAAACUUCCAUGAAAAAGGAAAAUGUCUUACUACAAGAGGAAAUCAUUACUACUGAAACUCUGCUCACAGACAACCUGCUAAAUAAAACUCCAAUAUCAUCUUCCCCUCAAGUAGAUACUACCAUAAUACUAAAAUCAUGUGUGACUCCCAGUCCUAAGACUCCAGCAGCACCUAAUAAACAUCUUGAUGAAUUGACUGCUAAUGAUUUUGAGGAUGAUUGGGAAAGCUUACUAAGCAGUGAACCCUUCCUUAUGGAGAAUGCUGAAAUGCUUGAACUCUUUCCCUCUACAACUGCUCAAGGUACUGGUCAGAAGGCAGUUUGUACCUCCAUUGGGGAAAAUGAUACAAUCACAUCAAGAGCAAAUAUGAAUCUAGGUGGAAGGUUAAGAGACUCAAAAGUAACACUGGAUCUUCCUUCAAAGACACGAAGCAGAGAACUAAAAAAUGCUGGAGAAUGUAGGUUUUCACCACAUCCAGGUGAUGAACCAAGGAAGUUCCCAUUCAUUGGGAAUAAAGUGAGGUUUGAGAAAUCUGUCACUAACUUUGUUAGUAAAAAUGAAGAUUAUGUUGCUGUCUCUAACCUUACAAAAGUGAAAGAAGAUGGUCAUGGUAAGGGCAUACUUAAUGCCUCUAACAAGUCUGUUUCAUACACAAGGUAUCCUAAUGAACAAAAUCACAAGCUUGGUGUUAACCUGCCUUUGAAAGUACCCACUACUGACCCAUUUGAUUCUGUGUUCGUGGGCAAAGAAAACAUUGUGUGUAACACAAAUCAGUCUCAUGGAUCAAAGUUCAGUUCUCCCUUUGAUGACUGGAAUGACCCACUGUUGGCCAGUAAAAUGAUUAAAGCAUGCCAUCAAUUAGAAACUACCUGGGAAGCAGAUGAUGUAGAUGAUGAUUUGUUAUAUCAGGCUUGUGAUGACAUCGAAAGACUAACUCAGCAAGAAAACAAGGGCAGCAAGGAGUCAGAAAGUAAAAGUAAUACUUCCAUACAUGGAUCCAGAAAUACUUGUUCUGCAUCUGAACAAGGAAGUCAGUUGGUGUCGUCUAAACAUUGGAAUCUUGUCAGUUCUCCAAUGCCAUUGUCUUUAACAAAUAAAUCACAGAUAAAUAAGCCAGUGACAGUAGAGAAAAGAAACAUAUGUGGAGAUUGUCCCAAUAUUUUGGAUGCUACAAAUUUGUCUGUGUGCUCUAAGAAUUCAAGUGAUAAUCAGCAUGUACCAGUACAGGUGAAUAGCUCAAACUCUGUUCUUGUAGGAAGUUCACAUCUGAAAGUUAAUUUGGGUCCUGUGAGCACAAAGAUUGCUACUAAUACGAAGUUGAGUACUGCUCAGCUGUCCCACCACAGCUUAGCAGAUACAGCUCAGAGUGACAGCAAAAUACUGAAGUCAUCAAAAUUCACAUUUAAAAAGAAGAACCCUCAGUUUCUUUCUGAGUUAAAUCAAAAUCCUCUAGCAGGAAGUAUGCCUGUUAGUAAAAUCUCACAGGACUUAGGAAAAAGGGAAACUGUCAAUUCAUGGCCUGAAGCUAAUCAA
rnacentral:lncRNA from 1 species